UUUCCGGUGUAACGGUGGAAUGUGUAGAUAUCGGAAAGAACACCAGUGGCGAAGGCAGCCUUCUGGUCGAGUACUGACGCUCAUGCACGAAAGCGUGGGGAGCAAACAGGAUUAGAUACCCUAGUAGUCCACGCCGUAAACGAUGAAUACUAGAUGUUGGACAUAUUGUUCAGUGUCGCAGCUAACGCGUUAAGUAUUCCACCUGGGAAGUACGCCCGCAAGGGUGAAACUCAAAGGAAUUGACGGGGGCCCGCACAAGCGGUGGAUCAUGUGGUUUAAUUCGAUGCAACGCGAAGAACCUUACCUGGGCUUGAUAUUGCAGCUAAACCUCCUGAAAGGGAGGGUCCUUCGGGGAGCUGUAACAGGUGCUGCAUGGCUGUCGUCAGCUCGUGUCGUGAGAU
rnacentral:rRNA from 1 species